rnacentral:rRNA from 1 species
GACGAACGCUGGCGGCGUGCUUAACACAUGCAAGUCGAACGGAAAGGCCCUGCUUUUGUGGGGUGCUCGAGUGGCGAACGGGUGAGUAACACGUGAGUAACCUGCCCUUGACUUUGGGAUAACUUCAGGAAACUGGGGCUAAUACCGGAUAGGAGCUCCUGCUGCAUGGUGGGGGUUGGAAAGUUUCGGCGGUGGGGGAUGGACUCGCGGCUUAUCAGCUUGUUGGUGGGGUAGUGGCUUACCAAGGCUUUGACGGGUAGCCGGCCUGAGAGGGUGACCGGCCACAUUGGGAGUGAGAUAGGGCCCAGACUCCUACGGGAGGCAGCAGUGGGGAAUAUUGCACAAUGGGGGGACGCCUGAUGCAGCAACGCCGCGUGCGGGAUGACGGCCUUCGGGGUGUAAACCGAUUUCGCCUGUGACGAAGCGUGAGUGACGGUAAUGGGUAAAGAAGGACCGGCUAAAUACGUG